rnacentral:tRNA from 1 species
GGUGGCUUAGUGGUAGAGUGCUUGUCUCAGAUGCAUGAGGCCCUGGGUUCAAUCCUCAGUACCA